rnacentral:piRNA from 2 species
CACAUGCGGACUCACACUGGAGAGA